rnacentral:rRNA from 2 species
UACAGAGGGUGCGAGCGUUGUCCGGAAUCACUGGGCGUAAAGGGCGCGUAGGUGGCGACCCAAGUCCGUGGUGAAAGCUCGUCGCUUAACGACGAGUCGGCCACGGAGACUGGGUGGCUCGAGCACUGUAGGGGCAGAUGGAAUUCCGGGUGUAGCGGUGGAAUGCGUAGAGAUCCGGAAGAACACCAGUGGCGAAGGCGGUCUGCUGGGCAGUUGCUGACACUGAGGCGCGACAGCGUGGGGAGCAAACAGG